rnacentral:rRNA from 1 species
AUUGAACGCUGGCGGCGUGCUUAACACAUGCAAGUCGAACGAAGUGGCGAACGGGUGAGUAACGCGUAAUCAACCUGCCCUUCAGAGGGGGACAACAGUUGGAAAAGACUGCUAAUACCGCAUACUGAAGGUGGGGAUUGCGGCUGAUUAGCUGGUUGGAUGGGUAACGGCCCACCAAGGCGAUGAUCAGUCGCCUGGUAGGCAAGAUGAACGGCCACAUUGGGACUGAGGCACGGCCCAGAAUCCUACGGGAGGCAGCAGUGGGGGAUCUUCCGCAAUGGAGGAAAGUCUGACGGAGCAACGCCGGGUGAGUGAUGACGGCCUUCGGGUUGUAAAGCUCUGUUAAGCGGGACGCGGUACCGGAAUAGAAAGCCACGGCUAACUACGUGCCAGCAGCCGCGGUAAUUC